rnacentral:rRNA from 1 species
CCUACGGGGGGCUGCAGUCGAGGAUCUUCGGCAAUGGGGGAAACCCUGACCGAGCGACGCCGCGUGUGGGAUGAAGGCCUUCGGGUUGUAAACCACUGUCAGAGGGGAUGAAAUGCCAUGGGGUUCUCUCCAUGGUUUGACAUAUCCUCAGAGGAAGGACGGGCUAAGUUCGUGCCAGCAGCCGCGGUAAUACGAACCGUCGAAACGUUAUUCGGAAUCACUGGGCUUAAAGGCGGCGUAGGUUGCGCUGGAAAGCCCUCGGCUUAACCGAGGAACUGCGCUCAAUACUGCUGUGCUUGAGGGAGAUAGAGGUGAGCGGAACUUAGGGUGGAGCGGUGAAAUGCGUUGAUAUCCUAAGGAACACCUGGGGCGAAAGCGGCUCACUGGAUCUUUUCUGACGCUGAUGCACGAAAGCUAGGGUAGCGAACGGGAUUAGAUACCCCUGUAGUC